rnacentral:antisense_RNA from 1 species
CUUCACCGACCCCAGCCACAACGGCCGGUCGGCGUCACGCCCCUGGCCAUACGUUGCCAGCAGCGCCUGCGCCUC